GCCUAAAACUCAGCCCUACAAUAACGAAUGACAACUCAGUCUCUACUAACAAUAAAUAAAACAUUUUACACUCAUAGUAAAGGCGAUUGAAAAAUGCUUAGGAGCUCUAAAUACUGUACCGCAAGGGAAAAGUGAAAUAAAAAUGAAAUAUUUUAAAGCACAAUAAAGCAGAGAUUUAACCUCGUACCUUUUGCAUCAUGGUCUAGCUAGUCUAAUCAAGCAAAGUGAACCUUAAGUUUGACCCCCCGAAACUAAGCGAGCUACUUCGAAACAGCCCUAAGGGGCCAACCCGUCUCUGUUGCAAAAGAGUGGGAAGAUUUUCAAGUAGAGGUGAUAGACCUACCGAGCUUAGAGAUAGCUGGUUAUUCAGGAAAAGGAUAUGAGUCCUACCUUAAGAUCUCAAUUUAACUUAAAGUAAAAACUUAGACUUAAGAGCUAUUCAAAUAAGGUACAGCCUAUUUGAAUCAGGAUACAACCUCCAACAUAGGGUAAUGACAGAUAUAACGUGACCAAGUGGGCCUAAAAGCAGCCACCUUUUAAAAAGCGUUAAAGCUUUAUUACAAAAAAAACUAAUACCAAUAUUUACCCAAAACCCUUAACCACUACUGAAUGACUCUAUAAUCAUAUAGAGAACUAUAUGCUAGAACUAGUAACAAGAAGACGGACUUCUCCAAAAUACAAACGUAAGCCGAAAUGAACAACUCACCGGCAUUUAUCGCUAGUGAACCAACAGUAGCAACCCCAACAAGAAAAUUCUACUUAUGUAUAGCGUUAACCUUACACUAGAGUAUUACCGGAAAGAUUAAAAGAUGAGGAAGGAACUCGGCAAAUUACUAACCCCGCCUGUUUACCAAAAACAUCGCCUCCUGAUAAAUCAUAGGAGGUCCAGCCUGCCCAGUGACAAAGUUAAACGGCCGCGGUACCCUAACCGUGCGAAGGUAGCGCAAUCACUUGUUCUUUAAAUGAGGACUAGUAUGAAUGGCAUCACGAGGGUUACACUGUCUCCCCCAUCCAAUCAGUGAAACUGAUCUCCCCGUGAAGAAGCGGGGAUAAAAUUAUAAGACGAGAAGACCCCAUGGAGCUUUAAACUCAGUAUCAACUGCCCCAUAAUAUACCAAAGUUAAUUGACAGCUAUGACUACUA
rnacentral:rRNA from 1 species